GAUUCUCUCUAUUAUUAUUAUCAUUUAAUAUUAUUUGAAAAGCAAAAAUAUUCCCUCACAAAUCUUAACAAGUUAGCAUCGAAUACACAAGCAACUUUCACAAUAUAUCACAAUAAUAUUCCUCACAUAAACAAGGAAAAGGCUAACUCCUCACCAUGUCGAUAGUCGAUCAUGGGGACGAUGGGGCCAGUCCUCCCAAGAGGUCCCGACUGACACCACCGGAGCCAGAUCUUGGCGAGCGCCUCAAUCAAUUGAUGCUGUGCGUCGUCUGCCACGAGGUGCCUCACCCGGACAAGAGCUACCAGUGCAGUGUGGGGCAUAUCCUGUGUGAUGAUUGUGUGAGCCAUAUUCUGGCGGAUGCCGCCAUCAGUAAUACGGAGGCCCAGUGCCCGGUCUGCCGUGUCCGGAUGACCUGGAGUGAUCUGGGCCAGAACGCCGUGGUCCGUCAGGCCUUGUGGGAGUUGUCCAAAAACUGUCUCCUAUGUGGCCUGGUAGUGACGCUCAAGGGGCUGACUAGUCACCUUGACAACGAUUGCGAGCUACGAAGAGUGAGCUGUCGGUAUCGUUGCCUGGGCUGCGACUGGGUGGGCGCCCACGCUAUAUGCCCAAUGCACGAGGCCGGUUGCCAGUUUCCGAAAAUGAAUGGCGAGGAAAUACAGGGAGCUCUCGAAAAGGCAGACAGCCUUGAGAGGAAGAGCCUACAACAGGCGGUCCGUUUUCUUCACGAACUGAGCCAAAGACGCAUCUUUUUCAGAAAUCUGGAAAUUUUUUGGAAAACCGAUUGGGCUAUGACCAACACUGAACGAUUUCUGGAUUCUCAGAGUUUUGAAGCCUAUGGAAAUCAGUGGAUACUGCGCCUGCGAGUCAGUCUUUCAUUGGAUGACAUUCCAGUGAAAGUUAAAUCCACCCUUUUGCUGAAGGUUCCUCCAAAAGAGGUAAUCACAGUAAGAUAUCUUGUGUUGAUGCCCAGCCGACAGGGAAGUGACAAAAAUAUGCAAGACAUUUUAGCAAAUCUGGUUGAACGUCAGUACGUUGCCGGUACGGUCGAAAGGUACCAGGACUUACCAAUGCAGAGCCCCAUGGCUCUUUACCGUCUUCUGGCAAUGCAGAGGAUUGUGUUGCGUCUUUGGAUGUUUAUGCCUUAACUUCAAUUCAAUUGACCUUCUAUUGAAUGCAUUCAUAUAUUAUAUAUUUUUUCAAAAAUGAAAGUAAAAGUUUUUUCCGGUGGAACUCCACACAUACAUAUGACCCACAGUGAUAUCUCUAUCUUGGCCAUCUUUCAUCCAAUUCUUGAACGGAAAACCUUAAGAGAUUGGAUUAGACCUUAAACGAAAUAGAAUCCAAAUUUUUUAGCCAAUUUUUCCUAGUAAAAGUUGAAGAAUUUAUGGGAAUCUGAGAGUCUGUGCUCUAUCUGUGUUAUCUUACAUCUGAUUUUCGAAAGAAAUACUUUCCAAUAAAAACCUGGCUUUUUCGAGUAUUAUGAAAAGCAAGGAAAGGACGCAUUUGGCCUACUCUAUCUUGGCCAUCUUUUAUCCGAUUUAUGAAAGGAAUACCGUCAAUUAUUUUUAGAUUUUGUAUAAUGUUGUGUGUAGUAACAAACCUCUAAAAAAAACGAAUUUAUGUGAAAUUAUACAUAUUUAUUUUUU